UACGUAGGGUGCGAGCGUUGUUCGGAUUUACUGGGCGUAAAGGGCGCGUAGGCGGUCAGCACAAGUCAGUUGUGAAAUCUCCGAGGCUUAACUCGGAAAGGUCAACUGAUACUGUGCGACUAGAGUGCAGAAGGGGCAACUGGAAUUCUCGGUGUAGCGGUGAAAUGCGUAGAUAUCGAGAGGAACACCUGCGGCGAAGGCGGGUUGCUGGGCUGACACUGACGCUGAUGCGCGAAAGCCAGGGGAGCGAACGGG
rnacentral:rRNA from 1 species